CUGUCGUCAUCAAGAUACGCGUCCUCCGGUGGCGUUCGCGAGGAAGUGGGAAAGCAGCGAUGGCUAGUCCCACUGCCACCUCUGUGAGACCGCCCAGGCCCAAGAAAGAGCCGCAGACGCUCGUCAUCCCUAAGAAUGCAGCCGAGGAGCAGAAGCUCAAGUUGGAGCGGCUCAUGAAGAACCCGGACAAAGCAGUUCCAAUUCCAGAGAAAAUGAAUGAGUGGGCUCCUCGGCCUCCUCCAGAGUUUGUCCGAGAUGUCAUGGGUUCCAGUGCCGGGGCUGGCAGCGGAGAGUUCCAUGUUUAUAGGCACCUACGGCGGAGAGAGUACCAGCGGCAGGACUACAUGGAUGCCAUGGCUGAGAAGCAAAAACUGGAUGCAGAGUUUCAGAAGAGACUAGAAAAGAAUAAAAUUGCUGCAGAGGAGCAGACUGCAAAGCGCCGGAAAAAGCGCCAGAAGUUAAAGGAGAAGAAGUUACUGGCAAAGAAGAUGAAACUUGAACAGAAGAAACAGAAGGAAGAACCGGAUGAGUGCCAGGAACAGCACGCCAGCAGCUCUGAGGAGGCGUCUGGAACAGAGGAGGAGGGAGAGGAGCCCAGUGUCAUCAUGGGUCGGUGAGGAGUUUCAGCAGCCAUGAGCCCAGCUCAUUCCAUGACCAGCCUCAAGAAAGGAACCAAGGCUGUGGCCCAGCGGCUAGACUGGCUGUGUUGGGAGAAGGCAGGAGCCUCCUGCAGCCCUGCCUGCCUGCAGAGCAGAGGGACUGCCUACUGUGUCCUGCCCUGCCCUUGCUGAAGGGGACUGCCUCACUUCCCCUGAUGCCUGCUCCCUUCUGCUUGAACAGCAGUGAGCUCUAGGCUGCUUCUGUGAAGGGAAUAUUUAUUUAGUAAAGAGCAGAAAACCACAUGUGCAAGAUAUUAAUUCCCAGAGCCUCGGAGAAGCCAUGAGGUGGCCCAGAGACUGCGAUUUGCCAGGUCGUCUUCUGCAGACCUCCUUCCAGAUCUACUUAGGCACGCGGACUUGGGAAAGGCCUGCGCUGUGGCUGCCCAGCCCUGUCCCUUUAUGGAGCAGUAGACUUGGAAGCUGAAGAGCUGUGCCGCCCAGCAGUUCCCAGAACAAAUGAGACAGUGGGGCCCACCGUAGAGGCUGGGCAGAAGGAGAGAGGCUCCAGGAGAACAACAGGUGGCAAAAGAAAGCAAGGGUUGUCCCAGACACACCUGGGAAACGGAGACAGGCAGGAUGUGAGCUCUCAGCUACUGCUCCAGCACCAUGCCUGCCUGCCUGCCUGCCACCAUGCUCCCCUCCGUGAUAGUCAUGGCCUGGCCCUCUAAAACUGUAAGCAAGCUCUCAACUAAAUGCUUUCUUUUAUAAGUUGCCUUCGUCAUGGUGUCUCUUCAUAGCAAUAGAACAGUAUCUAAACACACAUUGAAAUAA